rnacentral:rRNA from 1 species
UGGGGAAUAUUGGACAAUGGGGGCAACCCUGAUCCAGCAAUGCCGCGUGUGUGAAGAAGGUCUUCGGAUUGUAAAGCACUUUCGACGGGGACGAUGAUGACGGUACCCGUAGAAGAAGCCCCGGCUAACUUCGUGCCAGCAGCCGCGGUAAUACGAAGGGGGCUAGCGUUGCUCGGAAUGACUGGGCGUAAAGGGCGUGUAGGCGGUUUACACAGUCAGAUGUGAAAAUCCCCGGGCUUAACCUGGGAGCUGCAUUUGAUACGUGUAGACUAGAGUGUGAGAGAGGGUUUGUGGAAUUCCCAGUGUAGAGGUGAAAUUCGUAGAUAUUGGGAAGAACACCGGUGGCGAAGGCGGCAACCUGGCUCAUGACUGACGCUGAGGCGCGAAAGCGUGGGGAGCAAACAGGAUUAGAUACCCUGGUAGUCCACGCUGUAAACGAUGUGUGCUAGAUGUUGGGUAACUUUGUUA